UACGUAGGGGGCAAGUGUUGUCCGGAUUUAUUGGGCGUAAAGAGCGUGUAGGCGGUUAGGUAGGUCCGUUGUGAAAACUCGAGGCUCAACCUCGAGACGCCGAUGGAAACCAUCUGACUAGAGUCCGGAAGAGGAGAGUGGAAUUCCUGGUGUAGCGGUGAAAUGCGCAGAUAUCAGGAGGAACACCGGUGGCGAAGGCGGGUCUCUGGGCCGAUACUGACGCUGAGGAGCGAAAGCGUGGGGAGCGAACAGG
rnacentral:rRNA from 1 species